rnacentral:rRNA from 1 species
AUGCACGCUGGCGGCGUGCCUAAUACAUGCCAGUCGAGCGAACAGAUGAGGAGCUUGCUCCUCUGACGUUAGCGGCGGACGGGUGAGUAACACGUGGAUAACCUACCUAUAAGACUGGGAUAACUUCGGGAAACCGGAGCUAAUACCGGAUAAUAUAUUGAACCGCAUGGUUCAAUAGUGAAAGACGGUUUUGCUGUCACUUAUAGAUGGAUCCGCGCCGCAUUAGCUAGUUGGUAAGGUAACGGCUUACCAAGGCAACGAUGCGUAGCCGACCUGAGAGGGUGAUCGGCCACACUGGAACUGAGACACAGUCCAGACUCCUACGGGAGGCAGCAGUAGGGAAUCUUCCGCAAAGGGCGAAAGCCUGACGGAGCAACGCCGCGUGAGUGAUGAAGGUCUUCGGAUCGUAAAACUCUGUUAUUAGGGAAGAACAAAUGUGUAAGUAACUAUGCACGUCUUGACGGUACCUAAUCAGAAAGCCACGGCUAACUACGUG